rnacentral:sRNA from 1 species
CAAUCCGUUGAGGGCCAAGAACUCGCUCGUUCUCUUUUCGCUCUUCUUCUUUUUGAUGCUUAUUCUUCUUCAACUUCUUAGCUAUGGAAGCUCCUGCCCCCUUGACGGUAUCAAUGAGGUCUCCUUUCGUCUCAAGCUCAAUAAGCUUAGAGGUACUGCCGAUAUUUUUGCCUGCAAGCAGAACAUAAGGACCAGUUUGCUUGCCAAGAAUGUGCUCGAGAGUGGCUGAGAGAUAGGCGGAAUCUGAUCGCUGAUCGAUGUCAACAUAAAAAGGGGCAGGUUUGACGUUGUAUCUCUUGAACAGAGCUCGCGCUUCACGCAUCAUGGGGUCACGCAUGUUACCCAGAACCAUGAUGGGAUUAAUUUCCCAUUGAGUACGAACCAGCUCCUCAAGUUCAGCCUUAGCAUGGGGUGAGCGAGGAUCGAACGGUAAGAAUCCUUCAAGAGAAAGUUCGUUCUCGGAAUCGAUUGGGGGAAGUGCGUUGGCGCUGGUACCGGCAAUGAAGCUCAUCAAGGCGGCCAACUCCUCAUCCUUAGUCAUGUGAAAAUUGACCUUUUUAAAGGGUUUCUGGUCCUCGUCAACACGUUUUGAAAGCUUUGACUGAGCUUUGAGAGGGUGAUGCUGGGGCUUCGCUGGUUUAUAGCCGGGCUCAGUGUCAACCAUUUGCUAUAUAGCAAUUAGCAGAAAGUACCAAAACUCAUUCGUCUAAUGUACUCACAUCUGACUCAGCUUUGGCAAUUGCAGCAUGUUUUACCAUCCAUUCCCCCUUCCUGACCGCUACAGAACGUUCAGCGUUGAUGAGCGAUUGCUGGAACCAGGAAACCAUGCAAAGAGAGCCGAAAAGAAUAAUGGACAUGACAGUAAUGACAAUGGGCCGCUGCCACCUAGGUACCCGAGGAAGACGAGGCUUGAAGGCAGAAAGUGACACUACCUUUGCAGGCACAUGGGUAAGAACGAAAGAAUCCUCGUCGAGAACAUAAUGUAUGUUGGUAUUUUUCUAGAGCAAAUAAAGAGUUAGCUCACAUCAAGGGACUUUACAUCCAUGGACUCACCUUGGUAGGAAAUGCCAUCUGGAAAGGCUCAAGGAGCUUGUUUGUCCCUGUAGAUUUGACUUUGACUUCGGACUUCUCCUUUUCCUCUAGUUUCCACAUCGGCUCAAUUAGUCCGCUGACUGGAACGCCGGGGGAUCUUGAGCGAGAGCCUUUCUUGCCUCUGCAAGGAUCGAGAUCAAAAUAACUGCUUGGGGAAUUCCGACGCUGAUAGGACGGGCGUUGACAGGAAGGAGUGACAAUGACAUCUUCAGUGUCACCGUCAGAGCCACUGGACCAUGUAGAAUAAGACGAGGCUUUGCCUGUCAUCUCGAUCGAGGAAACUGUAUCCGAAGGUGAAAGAGGAGGGGUGGGGGCCUCGGAGGAAAGAGACCCGUGCUCCUGAUUAAUGUCGGAGUCGGAGUCGGAGUCCAUGACGGGUAAGGGACGGAUUGGUAUGCUAAUUGAAAGAGGAGAAGGCUUAUAAGGGGGCUUUACGGGUGCUGAAAACCACUCAGGCGAAGUGGAUAUCAUUCGUGACGACGAUGUAGUAGGAGGGGAAGGUGGAAAAGUGGGUAUCUGCAAUAAGAAUAAGCUAGGAUCGAUAUUGAGACGUGUGAACGAGAAGAAACCCACAAUAAUGACGUCCGUUUCGGACAUCGUGGAAAGAGUGAGUUGUGCUAGCGGGUGCUGUAGAGCGACAGUUCUGGUAGAUAGGUGAGCUACACCGGGGUAAAUUGGAUCGCUGUGAAGAUGUGGAUGUCAGAAAAAAUGAGGAGAAGUUGAAGUGUAAGGGAUUAAUUGGUGAGGAAACAUAG